UACGUAGGGUGCGAGCGUUGUCCGGAAUUAUUGGGCGUAAAGAGCUUGUAGGCGGUCUGGCGCGUCUGCUGUGAAAAUCCGGGGCUCAACCCCGGACUUGCAGUGGAUACGGGCAGACUAGAGUGUGGUAGGGGAGACUGGAAUUCCUGGUGUAGCGGUGAAAUGCGCAGAUAUCAGGAGGAACACCGAUGGCGAAGGCAGGUCUCUGGGCCACUACUGACGCUGAGAAGCGAAAGCAUGGGUAGCGAACAGG
rnacentral:rRNA from 1 species